GUUAACUAAAAUAUGCGAUUUCCUUCGAUCUAAUUGCAAAUCCUCCAUCCCUCUCAAAUAUCAGCUGAGAAUGGUCAUUUCAAUUUUUCCCUAAAUAAAGUUCUGAAGUUCGAAGGAUUAAUUUCAUUCAUUCGUUCGUUGUCUCUUCUGAUAUUCUUAUUGGUAUGUUAUUCUUUUAAUUCAUUUUCUGGUUGGUAAUUUUGUCAAAAUGUUUGGUUUUAGGGUAAAAGAUGGUAGCUUUAAGAUAUCUUCUGCUUGUAUGAAAAUUGCCGAUGGGGUUGCCUCAAAUCCAGUAUUAGUAGGAAGAGUACUGGCAUUAUCUCAAAUUUGUGGUCAACACAGGUCAAUCGUCUUUUGACAAAACGAAAAGAAGAUUUUAUGGUGUAGUGAUCCUUCAGCAACAGCUUUAUAAAGUUACAUAUCAUGUUGAUUGUUUGAACUUUGUUACUACGUAGAAGACUUGUUAAACAUGGAGGAUGUAAUAAUGAUAGAAGACGAUGAUAUUGUCAAGGAAGAGCCACAAUCAUUCCCUUCUGAGGGUUUGAAUGUGGAUGGAGGAUUGGUUAAUCAUCCACAGAAUGAAACCAACAUAAACGAAGAAAAUGAUCCGGUCUCGAUGGAAGGAAUCGACUUGACUCAAUGUUUUCAAAUCGAUAAGGAAUUUGACUCACGAGAAGCAAUAAUUAAGUGGUGCCAAGAGGUUGCAGGAAAGAACAAUACAGUACUUGCAACCAUAAAGUCAGUUAAAAAACAAGGGGGAAAGGGUUCUGUGGUUGAGCUUGGAUGCGAAAGAAGUGGUGUCUACAGCAGGAGAAAGAGCAACAUUUCUAAGUCCGGUCAGAAACGAAAAAGAGAAUCUAAAAAGUGUGGUUGUCCUUUGAAAUUGAGAUGUACAUGUAUAGGCGGAAACAAAUGGAAGCUUCGAGUAUGUUGUGGAAAACAUAAUCACGAGGUCGGAAGAACACAAGCAGUGGAUGUACUAAGCAUGGAGGAUGCAGUAAUUAUAGAGGACAAUAAUGCUGUAAAGGAAAAUUUAUCAACAGAAGGUGGUUCUUCAAACGGCUCUUGUAGGGAGGCUAGCAGGUCCCUAAAUGCUAUUAGAGAUUCAGAAUCACGCCCUUCUGAUGAUUUCAAUGUGAAAAAAGGAUCAGUUAGUCAACCCGAGAAAGACACCAGUGUCACGGAGGAAGAGGUUCUCGUCUUUGAGGAAGGGAUCGGCUUGACUCACUGUUGCCAAACUGAUAAGGAUUUGGAUGGGGAAAAAUGUUCAGAUAGUCAUCUACAAAAAGACACCAAUGUCAUGGAGGAAGAUGUUUCCAUCUUCAAGGAAGGGAUCGACUUGACUCCGUGUUUUCAGACUGAUAAGGAAUUUGACACUAGAGAAGCUGUAAUUCAUUGGUGCCAAGAGGUUGCAAGAAGCAACAACACAGGCCUUAUGAUCAGUAAGACACUCAAAAAACCAGGGGGAAAGGGCAGUCUGGUUGAGCUUGGAUGUGUCAGAAGUGGUGCUUACAGGUCCCAUAGGAAAAAAGGUGACAAGGUUUUACGUAAAAGAAAAGUACUCACUAAAAAGUGUCGAUGUCCUUUUAAACUGAGAAGUACAUGUGUGGAAGGAAAUAAAUGGAAACUCCGGGUACGUUGUGGAAGACAUAAUCAUGAGGUGGAAUGCAUACCUCCAGGCCAUUCAUACUUCAGACGGUGGAAAGAAGACGAGGAUCAACUACUGUGUGAAUUGACUGCGAGCGGUCUCCGUCCUCGACAGGUACUUCAUGCAUUGAAAGAGAGGAGCAAAGAAAAUUUCCUGGACAUCAAGACCAUAUACAAUAGAAGAACAAGACUAAAACUACAUGGCACUGGAAGAAGCUCAGUGAUGCAACAGGUCAUGAAGUUGUCAGCUCAAUACCAUUACAUGGAAUGGCACAGGAAAGAUAAAGAGACAUGUGAAUUGAAAGAUAUAAUAUGGGCUCACCCUGAAUCUACAUUGUUGGCUCAGUGUUUCCCUUUUAUGCUGAUGAUUGAUUGCACGUACAAGACCAAUAAGUUUAAGAUUCCGUUCUUUCAUGUAGCUGGGGUUUCUUCUGUUGGAACAUCUUUCACAGUCGCGUACGCCUUUAUCGAGGAGGAGACAGAAGAGCACUUUAGUUGGGCACUGAUGCAAUUGAAAUCUUUAUACUCGCCAAAUAACUUGCCAUCUGUAGUUUUGGUUAAUGGGGAGCUUCCAUUAAUAAAUGCAAUCAGCAUCGUGUUCCCUGGAGCAGAUAAGUUGAUUUGUCCAAAUCAUAUAGCAAAAACUAUUGAAAUCAAUUGCAAGAAUGCAUUUGAGAAUAGUGAAAUGUGGAGUAAUUUCUGUCUGGAUUGGGAGAACGUUUGGAAAGCAGAGACAAAGGAAGACUAUGUGGAUAUGUAUACCGAGUUUGUAACGACAUGGGUGGCAAGGAAUGUCACGUGCAUCACAUAUAUACGUGAUACGUGGUUGGUGCACAAAGAGAGCUUUAUUGUAGCUUGGACCCAGAAGAUUAAACACUUUGGUUACACAGUAAUAAAUAGGGUUGAAAAUGAGCGUGAUCAAUUGAAGAAGUGCAUGGAGUCUUCGGGGCAUAGUUUCUUUCCUUGUUGGGAAACACUGCACAACAUGAUAAACAGUCAGAUUACGCAUAUUAAAACCUCCUUUGAUAGGAGCUUGACUUCUGUUAAUCGUGGACAUCGGUCACCUAUUUUUAGUGAGUUGAGGAACCAGGUAUCUCAGCGUGCUUUGGAACUUUUACAGUUGGAGCUUGACAAAUCAUCGAAUCAAAGCAGUGAUAUGGGCCGCUGCAGGUGUUUAAUUCGUGCUACACAUGGUCUUCCUUGUCCUCACGAAGUAGUGAAGUAUACCCAAGAGGGUAGCCCAAUCCCUCUUUCUGCUAUUGACCCACAGUGGAAGCAACUGUCAAUAGUACCGAGAGUGGAGACAAAUAUUGAUUUUGAUUGGCUACCUGAAGUACAGCUUCUAUGGCAGAGAUGGAUUGAAUCUGAGGAACUUGAACGCUGCUCACUUGCUGAGAAGAUAAAGGAACUUGCAUUGUGUUAGAUCACAUGGUCUUAACAAAAAGUGUGCAUCAUGCUGAUGGUUCUUAAAAUGUUCCCUGAACCAUUGAGCAAGGCUUGGCAUCUGCAGCGCAUGAUAAUGUGCUCUAUGGUGGCUUACACAGUGGUGUUCAUAAUGACGUGUUGAGUUAGAGUUGGAUGUUGGAAGGACAUGUAAUCCUGAACAGUCUAUUUAGGGUUAAUAUUGGAGGAACUAAUGACGCUGCUCCCAAGGAUUUGGAAAUCUCGAGUCCAUGCACUAGACUCCUUUCAAAUUAUAUGGAAUGAUUUCGAUGGCGUUGAAGGGAUAUUAUUGUACUUAUCACUGGGCCUUCCAUUAUAAAUUUAGUGCCUCGAGUACUAUUGGAACAUCAUAUUUAGCCAGAUGUUGGAAAAGGUCCAACUGUGGUGUUGCCCAACUAUAUGAGGAAAGCAUAAAGAUGGAAAAUUUUCGGUCAAGAGAAGCUUAUUUGAUAUUGCCUGCAUCAGUAGCCGCUGGACUGGUCGAGUACACAGGAUUACGAAUAUUUGCCGAGGAUCUUCAACAAUCGUCCAAUGGGUAUGAUAGUUCACAAGGAAAGCUUUAUUUUUCAUGGUUAGAGAAGAUUAGCACUUCAUUUUAAACUGAAAUAGCUACAUAAGAAAAUUGAGCAUGAUCAAUUGCGGAAGCACACAGCACGGUGAUACGACAGAUUUUUAUUUCCUUCUUAGGAGAUAAAGCGUUGAAUUAUAAAGGACUGGAUUGAUAAGAAGGGUGUCUUCAUUAACUCAUUGAGAAGACCUCAGCUUAUGCGAACCAUAAACAUCAGGUACUUGCUUUCCAGGAGUUGACUCUCAGCAAUCCAUGGGAACUUACAUUACUUGAACUUGACCAAUCAGCUUGCGAAGAGUUGAUGAACUAUGUCUCUCAGCAUGCUUUGGGCCUUGUACAAUUUGAAGAUACAAUCAGCAGAUGUAUAGUAGACGAACCAUGUCUGUUGGCAUGCAUGGACCUUGUCCGAUUUGAACUCAACCAUUCGCCAGAAGUAAGUUUUGGAGUAACUUCUAGUAGUUGUCUGCUUGGCUAUACGCAUGGUCUUCUUGUUGCGCGUGAAGUGCAUAAUUAACCUAGGAGGGAAGGCCUUCCCUAUAUCUGCAAUUGAUCAACAAUGGAAGCAAAUCUUGGUAGUGUCAAACUAUCAAUAGUGGAUUAUAAUGUUGAUUUUAAUUGCUGAUUUGAGGACAACUUCUGCAACAAAGGUGGAUGGAAGCGUCAGAAUCUGACUCGAUGCUCUCCGGAAGAGAUGAGAAGAGCAGGGUCAUCUUGAAAUAUUCCGACUUAGAUGAUGGUCACAUAAAAAUAAGAAUUAUCUUUGGGUGAUUCAAAACGCUGUUAACACUCGCAUGAUUCGUGGAGCAAAAGUUCACUUGGGUGAUAAGAGUUCCGGGAGUGUGCAUUAUUGACAACUCGAAGUCUCGAAGACCAAAUCAUACCGUGUCGAGAGAUUGAGUCCAAUUUAUCAUUGAAGUGAAGAUAGGGUGAACAUCCCUUGAUUCUAGGGUGAUUAUCUCCCGAGUUCGCUGGUUCAGUUUUUUUUUCUUGGCACAGCUUUCUGAGUUUGUUUGAAACCCAAAACUCCCUUUGAUCACACAUGAGGUCCCAACCUUAAAGCUUGGCUGCUCUUGGAUUUUCAUCUCUAUUUUAUGAAAACCUUUUGUCACUUUGUCAUAUGAAUUUAACUGAGCCCUAUACGUCCGUCCAUCAACCUUAAGCUCAAAUUCUAGGACUAGACCUAGAAGGCUAUUAAAUCAUUAUGUAUGACACGGUAUGUUUAUGAUUUCAUGAUUUCCUUGUAUUGCUGUAGAUUUAUAAGAACUAUAACACACUGCUGAGAAUUUGGUGGGUGAUAUCAUGGGUUCUGUUCAUUGUUAUAUCUUAGGUUAUAAGAAAUCUAUUUUCAGC